UGGAGAAGUUCUGGUGUUGAGACUCCUCA
rnacentral:piRNA from 1 species